GCCGUGCCCCACCCAGUUCCCGCAGCUGCGGGAACCCGCGCCCCUCCCCUCCCCGGCGGCCCGCCAGCCCACCCCGCAGAGGGCUGCAGGCCCGGACGGCUUUCCUGACUCUGCCCGCCGCGCCUGAUCCAACAGAUUCAAUUCCAGCAUUUCUUGAACAAGAGUAGAAGGUAAGAGUCAAAGCAAUUCCUCCCCAAUAGUCUUCAGAUCCUGUCAGAAUCUAGCCAGAGACACUA
rnacentral:lncRNA from 1 species